rnacentral:rRNA from 1 species
GACGAACGCUGGCGGCGUGCCUAAUACAUGCAAGUAGAACGCUGAAGAGAGGAGCUUGCUCUUCUUGGAUGAGUUGCGAACGGGUGAGUAACGCGUAGGUAACCUGCCUUGUAGCGGGGGAUAACUAUUGGAAACGAUAGCUAAUACCGCAUAACAAUGGAUGACCCAUGUCAUUUAUUUGAAAGGGGCAAAUGCUCCACUACAAGAUGGACCUGCGUUGUAUUAGCUAGUAGGUGAGGUAACGGCUCACCUAGGCGACGAUACAUAGCCGACCUGAGAGGGUGAUCGGCCACACUGGGACUGAGACACGGCCCAGACUCCUACGGGAGGCAGCAGUAGGGAAUCUUCGGCAAUGGGGGCAACCCUGACCGAGCAACGCCGCGUGAGUGAAGAAGGUUUUCGGAUCAUAAAGCUCUGUUGUAAGUCAAGAACGAGUGUGAGAGUGGAAAGUUCACACUGUGACGGCAGCUUACCAGAAAGGGACGGCUAACUACGUG